AAUUUCAUUAUCAUAAGUCAUAACACAAAAGGAUACAAAUUUUCACAAAAAAAAAAAGAUACAAGAUUGGAAUACAUUAAUUAUCAAAAAAAAAAAAAAAGAUUGGAAUACAUUUGUGAAAUAUAAAACCAGCAAAUUCCAAACAUUUGGAGACUUCGCAACCAAUCAUCUACUGUAAAUCAUUUAGCUCACGGGAAAAAUCAAAACUCAGAUACUCCCAAAAUCACAUUUAUUAAAUGAAAUGGCCCACCUGUUUAGGUCACAUCAACGUAUAAAGGAUGUCAAAACAAAAUUUAAACAAGUGUCUAGGUGUUUCAGCUUUUUCGCACACGAAAUCUUGCGAAAACCUCUAUGAAUUACCUUAUUUCUUGAAUCAAUUAGGCAAACUAUUUAUUUUAAACCAAUUCCCCCAAAUUCGUAAACAGAGUUAUUAAGACGUUAAGUGAGUUAUAACAUGGCUAAUCCAAUUUAGUAAGUCAAUUAAUUUCGGUGAAAUAAAACAGAAUAUGAUGUCGUUUUAUGCUUCUUCCUCAUCAAUGAUUAGGGAAAAAAUAAAAUUAGGGUUCCUCGAUUUCAACAGAUGAGUGUGAGAUAAAAAGAGAGACGAGUGUGAGAGACGAGUAUAGCAAAACAUGAAUCUUGUUAUCUAAAGACGUUAUUUUCGAUUGGUGGACUGUGAAGAGACAAAAUUCAAGCUCUACCGUUGAGUCUUCAUUUGACCUACUAAAACAAGAAUAUUUGAGAAUUUCAUAGAAGAGAAUCAGUCACUUUACCUCGUCCUCGAGUUUUGUCUCUUCACAAUCCACCAAUCGAAAAUAACGUCUUUAAAUAACAAGACUUACGUUUUGCUCUACUCGUCUCUCACACUCGACUCUCUCUUUACCUUUUCACAAACACUUGACUCUCUCCUCUAUGGAAAUCGGGGAACCCUAAUUUUAUUUUUUUUC
rnacentral:lncRNA from 1 species